UCAAUAAUUUCUUGACUCAGUCUCCCACUUCUAGUAAAAUAUUUCCAGUUUUUGAGAGCAAAACAAGACUACCUACUUUUAGGAUGCUCCAAACCCUAAUAAAGAGAAGGUGGAAACUCUUCGGAGGAGUUGGAAAAGUUGCAGAAAGAGAACGAAACUCUUAAAUUAAUGCUUCAAGUGAUUAGCAGCAAGUACAAAUGCUUCAUCAACAUCUCUCAAAUAAGAGCCUCAGACCAGAGGUCAGUCAGCAGCAGCCAGCUGCUCGCAAGUUUUCGUGGAAACAAAUCCUGGGGACGAAACCCUCAGAGUUGAAGAUGGAUUUCAAUGGAGGAAAUACGGACAGAAAGUCACAAAAAAUAAUCCAUCCCCUCGAGCUUAUUUCAAGUGUUCAAUGGCUCCCGGAUGCCCUGUAAAAAAGAAGGUUCAACGAUGUUUGGAAGACAAGCUUUUCUGAUGGCAACAUAAGAAGGACAACACAACCAUGACGUUGAUCCUACAAUAGGACUAUCUUCGACUUCCCCCGGAAGCUCCGCGAUAAUCUCCGCUACAACGUCGAAGUCUGAAUUUCGUGUUUCCGGUUCUCAAUAACCCUUUCGACCAAGCAUCACUCUUGAUCUCAAUCUAUCAGGCUCUAACCAUGAAAAACUGCAGAAACGAUGUAACUAUGACGAGAAUAGAAUUGAAGACUAUGCUGCAACCUUAGCAAAAGAUCCUAAUUCACUGUAGCUUUAGCGGCAGCCGUUGCUCGCUACAUCGCGAGCACCCUAAACCACCAACUCCAUAAACUCCGAUGAAAAUUGAAUUUCUUAAAAUUAUUAGGUAAGGGUUUUGUUA